rnacentral:rRNA from 1 species
GUGAGGAAUAUUGGACAAUGGGCGCAAGCCUGAUCCAGCCAUGCCGCGUGCAGGAAGACGCAUCUAUGGUGUGUAAACUGCUUUUGUACGGGAAGAAACACUCCCUCGUGAGGGAGCUUGACGGUACCGUAAGAAUAAGGAUCGGCUAACUCCGUGCCAACAGCCGCGGUAAUACGGAGGAUCCAAGCGUUAUCCGGAAUCAUUGGGUUUAAAGGGUCCGUAGGCGGUUUAAUAAGUCAGUGGUGAAAGCCCAUCGCUCAACGAUGGAACGGCCAUUGAUACUGUUAGACUUGAAUUACAAGGAAGUAACUAGAAUAUGUAGUGUAGCGGUGAAAUGCUUAGAUAUUACAUGGAAUACCAAUUGCGAAGGCAGGUUACUACUUGUGGAUUGACGCUGAUGGACGAAAGCGUGGGGAGCGAACAGGAUUAGAAACCCCUGUAGUCC